rnacentral:rRNA from 1 species
UCAUGGCUCAGAUUGAACGCUGGCGGCGACUGCCUUACACAUGCAAGUCGAACGGCAGCACGGAGGCAAUCCUGUGGCGAGUGGCGAACGGGUGAGUAAUAUAUCGGAACGUGCCCAGUCGUGGGGGAUAACGUAGCGAAAGCUACGCUAAUACCGCAUACGAUCUAUGGAUGAAAGCGGGGGAUCGCAAGACCUCGCGCGAUUGGAGCGGCCGAUAUCAGAUUAGGUAGUUGGUGGGGUAAAAGCCUACCAAGCCUUCGAUCUGUAGCUGGUCUGAGAGGACGACCAGCCACACUGGAACUUAGACACGGUCCAGACUCCUACGGGAGGCAGCAGUGGGGAAUUUUGGACAAUGGGCGCAAGCCUGAUCCAGCAAUGCCGCGUGCAGGAUGAAGGCCUUCGGGUUGUAAACUGCUUUUGUACGGAACGAAACGGUUCUCUCUAAUACAGGGGGCUAAUGACGGUACCGUAAGAAUAAGCACCGGCUAACUACGUG